AUUGAACGCUGGCGGCAGGCCUAACACAUGCAAGUCGAACGGUAACAGGAAGAAGCUUGCUUCUUUGCUGACGAGUGGCGGACGGGUGAGUAAUGUCUGGGAAACUGCCUGAUGGAGGGGGAUAACUACUGGAAACGGUAGCUAAUACCGCAUAACGUCGCAAGACCAAAGAGGGGGACCUUCGGGCCUCUUGCCAUCGGAUGCGCCCAGAUGGGAUUAGCUAGUAGGUGGGGUAACGGCUCACCUAGGCGACGAUCCCUAGCUGGUCUGAGAGGAUGACCAGCCACACUGGAACUGAGACACGGUCCAGACUCCUACGGGAGGCAGCAGUGGGGAAUAUUGCACAAUGGGCGCAAGCCUGAUGCAGCCAUGCCGCGUGUAUGAAGAAGGCCUUCGGGUUGUAAAGUACUUUCAGCGGGGAGGAAGGGAGUAAAGUUAAUACCUUUACUCAUUGACGUUACCCGCAGAAGAAGCACCGGCUAACUCCGUG
rnacentral:rRNA from 1 species